GUGUGAUGUGUUUGAAUGUUUGAAGUUAUGCCGUUUGGCUGAUUGUUGACUCCUCUUGUAAGGUUAAUUAUUGUUUCAUUGAAGUAGAAUGAGGA